AGCUAUGACUGUGGUUUGGUUGAUGGGAAUUUCUGCUUUUCCCUUCAGAAAAGGGUGUGGACAAAGAGUACUACACGGUUGGAGCCAGACUGAUUCGACUGGAGGACAAGGUGUUGCAGAUGGACCAGAAGAUGGAGACGAUUCUGAAGAUCCUGGUGGAGCAAUUCAGAACCCAGACACCUAUGUCAGCGGAGUCGCAAUAAUGAAGAUCAGAGGUCCCGGCUUAGAGAAAGACCAAUGAUGUUGCGAGGCAUCCUUGUUCUGUCAGAUUUCCCACCUGGCCAGGAGCUGGGACUCAUGGCUGGAUAGACCAGCUCUUUCCACGUUCCUGCUCCCCUGGAACAUCAGUGAAAAUGACCUCUGAUGUGACAGCCAAACAUAGCUCCCAGUCAUGGCCUCUGUGGGUAUGUGUAUGGCAACCCUCCAGCCAAACAGUCUGUUGCAUUCAUCUGAGUUCAGAUGGGUAUGAGCAGGCUCUCCUGAUGUAUAACAUAUCCUCAGUCAACUCUUCCAGCUUGAUAACCAGACCUUGUCUGCACUCCCACCAGUGGCAUUUACCAGAACUAUGACUGACCUCACAGGAUGUUUUUACUUUAAAUUCACCGCUGUGCAAAAGUGGGUGUUGCCAUGUGACAUCAAAUUAUCUAUUCUUCCUAAAAUUAGAAGAAAAAUCAGCCUACCAUCCAACAGCACAUUGAAAACUAUGCAAAGGUAGAUGUGAACCAUCCUGCUCGGACUGCAGUUUUAAAGAGGCUCACAGAGCCUGUCACUUUCCUAGACAAAUGCAAGAAAUGCCACUGAAUGUUUUUGCACCUGGACUUUCACAGCUGUAUAUAUCACUUAAAUGUGUUGUAACUAAGGCACGGCCUUGUUCGUGUACAAAUCUCAUCCCGUAGGUAUGUUCCUGAUUGUCUGUCGCUUCUUCCUCUCUGAAACCGACAAGCGCUGCAGGAACAAAUCUGGAGUUGAUUUAUUGCCACAGCGAAGCUAAUAAAAAUAGUAAAACAAC
rnacentral:lncRNA from 1 species